CCUAACCACGGUAGAGGCAGGAAAGCCUGGACCCCAGCUUGGAGGCGCGUGACAGAGGAGCCUGAGGGUGGGGUGCGGGAGGCCCUGGGAUCCAGGGAACUCCUGCUUGCACCCGUCCAUGGAUUUUAUCUGCCUGUAGUAUUUGUUUCAUCAGGCUAUUAACUUUAAAGAACACAAAUUUGAAUGAGAAUUUUAAUUUUUGCUUAUUUAUUUAUAAGGCAGAGAGACAGACAUGCAUAUCAGACCAAGAGAGCGGCCAUUCAUCAAGUCACUCCCCAGAUGCCCACAAUAGGCGGGGCUGGGCCAGGCCGAAGCUGGGAGCCAGGAUCCAUCCAGAGCUCCCGCGUGGGCGGCAGGGACCCAACUACUCGAGCUGUGACCCCUGGGAACCGGGAGCACACCAGCAGGAGCUGGCCCAGGAGUAGGGUGAGGACUCAACCCAGCCACCCCACAUGGAAAGCGAGUCUUACCAGGCUGGAUCUCUCCGGACGGUGAUGAAGACACCACGACUUUCCACAGAAAAAACAGACAUCGCCAAUGCCAGGACGUUAUCAAAAGAUAACGCUAAAAACUAAGGUCUAUUGACGCAAAUGUGGUUGGCUCAUUCGACUGAAGUAAUACGUGCAAUACCCAUGGGUUUAUUUCUUUGCUGUUUGAGAAAGUGAAGCAAUCGAACACUUACAAGGCUAAACAAAUCAAUGCUCGAUAAACGCUAACAAACAACGAAAAUGAUUCUCGCUUCCCUCCUCAUCCCCACCCUGGCAGGACGCAGUCUCUUGUGACGCUGUCUGCGUUCCUCAGAAUUCCAGGACAUUCUCUGCCUCACGCACACACGGCCUGGCCGCACAGGGGUGUGGUCCUAAACUAAAGGGAGCACACCCCACACGGAGUUCUUUGCGCUGCUCUUCCUACAUCCCAGUAUAACCCAGGUAUUUUCAUACUGCUACACACAUUUGCUUCCAGCUUUUAAGCAUUGGCAGGGCUUCCACCUCGCGGCCCCUGCAUGCCCCCUACCACCUGCACCCAACAGCAGAGCGCUUCGAAGCACUUCUGUAAUCGUGAUGACAAACAUCGACAAACACCCCGAGGCUUCUUUCUGGAAGAAACCAGAUUUCUCCAGCUAGUCUUGCAUAUUUAUUUCCCAAGAUGGACGUUAGCAUUGAUUCAGGUUCUGGAAAAAUUCACAACGGGCAUCAGAUGCAUAUAUAGAUUUAGGCUAAACUGACACUUUUAACAGAAUUUAAAGAACAAUGCGCAUUCUGAGAGAGUUGGCCUUGCACCUGGAAACUGCCCACCGUAAGUGCAUUCCAGAUCUCAAAACCAAUGGAUUUGCCAACCAUUGCUAGAAAAAGCCAAGAUCAUUGUCUUGAUAUUGUAGUCUUAAAAGCAACAUCAAUAACAUCUAAAACAUCAAGAGAACAAGGUUAACAUGUUUCUUGGUGGCCGCACUAUUCAGAACACCAGCUGAACUCUGUCUUGUUUGCAGGGUGCACUUGUACGGGCAAAAUGCUCUCUUCCUUCCAGGGAAGUGAGCAGCUGCGGAACGGAGUCUGCGAAGGCACGGAACCAGGACAGAGCCCAGCUACCUGCCGUGAGCGGCCCCUCACAGACAGCUGGCCCAGAGGAGCAGUGUCAGCCUCGCCCACGAAUGGUACAAACACAAACUAUCUGACCCUUCCAGGGCUCCGUGGAGGGCUCAGCAGCCCCUGUCAGCCUCCAGGAAUUCUGACGCACACAAAAGCAUGAGACUAGCCAGUGCAUGUGUGAGCUCAACCCUAGCUCUUCAAUCAGCUUGUUUGGCUAAAAAUGCUAUGCAAAUCUUCCCAAAGCAUCCUGCAGUAUCUGAAGGCCCCUGUCUCUGAGCUCAAGAUGCAACACAGAAAAGGACUAAAAGACUAGAAGUCACUGACAUCAGUUUUUUACAAAAGAAGAAAUGUUUAAUUUUCAGGUGCAUCUUCAGAGAAAGUCGAUCUUCCCCAUUUUUACAGAAAUGAAGAGACAUCUCUCCAGCGAUGGCAUUCAGGGCACACUGUGCAUCUGGGCAAGCAGCAGCAGGAAGUCAUCACAGCUUGUCUCCGCUCUGACCCGCAGGCGCCACAAGGCUGUCAUUCCAUCCCUGCACCCAGAGGAAAGGCCCGGCGUCCUACGGAAGGUGGCAGAAUCAUGGAGAAGAUUCUGGACAGACAGGCUACGUGACACUCACCCUCAGUUUAUGGCUGUUGACUCACACUUUGUGGUCCAAUCAUUCCGCACCACCUGCUGCUUCUUCAUCAAACCCAUUAUCAAACAAUACACAAGGUGCCCUGUGUCUCCGGGUUUCCAUCUCUCCGUGAAACCUCCCAUGUGGUGUAAAAUGUACAUCAACUGUGAUGUUUUCCUCUGUGGGUCCAUCUUUCAUUAUCCAUGGGCCUAGGAUGUGUUAGGGAAAGACCCAUCAAUCAAUAUAAAUGGAAGCAAAUGAUGACGCAAUGGAGUAUUUCCUGAUGGCCCUAGGUGGUGCCGGGCACCCCGUGUGAGUCCCAACACGCAGUCCCAAGGGCUCAGCAAACUGCCUCAGCCAUUCUGCUCAGACAGCAAAACAGCGAGGGCACAAACAUGUCAAACUCUGAGCUGGCAAACCCUGAGGUGACGGGCAGACAGCAAUUAAACAAACUGAGACGAAAACUGCAGACAGCGUAGGAUGCUGAGCCCUUGAAAGAUACUCACGGGGAAGGCACCCAAACUGGAGGAGAGUGAAUGAAGAGUUAACAGAAACCCACCCAGGAAACAAAAAAUACAGCGUGGGAACUGGUGCCAGAGACCAGGGCUUGAGUGAACACGAAAGGAAAGAACCAUCAAAAUUAUUAAUUUUGCGGAAACGCAGGUCCAAGGCAGACUGUGCUUUGCAGAUCCGCUCUCACAUCCUGACAGAGCAUUGCAGCUCCAGCCAGCGGUGUGCCCAUGGAAACCAGAAGUCAUUGUAUCCCGGGAAACUAUGGCAACCAACAGAGACAAACUGAAAACAGCCCCAUUGUCAUGAUUUUAAUGAGUCAAAGAUGUGAGUAUCCUCUACAAUGAAUCCAACUGUGAUUUGCCAAGGAGAAGAUACAAUUCAAGCCAGCCCCAAUAAUUAGAGGAGGAUUUGAAAGACUACAUUUAUGAUUGAUUUAUCCUAAUGGAUCUAUAACAAUAAACACUUAUUAAGCUGGUUCCUAAAAAGAAGCCAGGAAAAAUCAACAGAUGUGAUCAGCUCUGAUAAGCAACUGCUCACACAGUAGCAUCGAAUGCAUUGCACCUGCCAAUGUUCUGGCAACGCAGCCGGUACCAGAGCUGCGGUUGUCAGCCUAGCACAGAGAUGCCCAGCCAUCGCGUGACUGCUCUGUGGCUUUGUGCAUCUGAAGUCAUUCAAAUAAUGAAUCCAGAUUCCUUCUGCCCAGCUCCUCUCUACUUUUAGCCUCCGUUCGACUGAGGCUCUGGCUUAGCGUCUCCUCAGCCGCUCGCUCCUCUAAUCACACCAAGCUAAGGAGAAGCCACGGAGGUCACCCGUGUGGACUUAGCAUCUAUUAUUUUGACAAAUGAGUUUGCAGCAUGAAAGCAGGACUCCCACUGCACUGCAGUUUGUUUGAGCUCAUUUAUUUUGCAUAUCGUGUGAAGUUUAAUCCCAAAACUUCUCCCCCAAAGAAAUCUGGGUCAUACCUUUCUCCUUUUUCCUUACAAAAACAGGGCUAGGAAGAUUAAUACUUACAAGAAGAUAGGGUGUGUGUGUUCAGGUACGUAUCACACUGCAUUUUUUAACAUGUCAAAUGAAAUUCAUCAAAAUCUAGUGACUCCCAUGAAACAAGGGAGUGACACACUAGCAGUAGUGCCUGGUAAUCAUCAAAGCAUACCCCUCAAAUGUGAAAUGCCAUUCAAAGGGGAAAGUCAAAAGCAUCCUAGAUGAGAGACACCAUUUGUAGAAGGUCAUGCAUUUGGUAAAAGGUGACCAAUUCAUUGGUUAAAGCAGGAAACCAGAAUAAAUGUAUUUUCUAAACAUUUCAACUUAUAUGCAUAAAACAAAGUAAUUCAUAAAGGUUUUGGUGUGGACUGAAGCCUUGUUUGGAUGAAGAGCCCACUGAAUAGUUUUGUAUCCUCUUAGAUAAUACAGCAUCUAUAAUCCCAAAUCUCAUUUGAGGACUAUUGGAAACUCAAUAUUCUUGCAAAACAAUAUGAGCAGAAAAUCUCCAUAGACUUUUUUCAUUUUCCAAUUUUUGUUUUCUUGCUGACAUCAAUUGUAAUAUCAUUAUUUAUCAGCAAAUUACCUUUCCAAAUAUGUAUUUCAUCAGAACUAUUUUAGCUCCAAACAUGUUUAUCAGUUUAUAUCAUAUUUUAUUCAAUUCUAUCAUUGUAGGAGCCAGCAUUGUGGUUCAGUGGGUUGAGCCACAGCCUGUGAUGCCAGCGUCUCAUAUGGGCAUCAGUUUGACUCACAGCAGGUGGUCUUCCAACCCAGACCCCUGCUAAUGUACCUGGGAAAGCAGAAGAUGACCCACGUGCCUGGGCCUCUGCCACCCAUGUGGGAGACCCAGACGGAGCUGCAGGCUCCUGGCUUCAGCCAGGUCCAGCUUUAGCUGUUACAGCUAUUUGGGGAUUGAACCAGUGGAUGGGAGGUAUCUCUCCCUUUCUGUCUCUCCCUUUAUUUCUAUAACUCAGCCUUUAAAAUAAAUAAAUAUAUCUUUUUUUAAAUUACAUAAUGUUACAAACAAGCAAUUGAGAUAUUCAGAUUUGGGAACAAAUACAACUGGUUAUCAGUGAAACCAACAGGUGCAAUGUCACGGACAUUGACGGUAGCAGGAGCCACAGUAUGCCUGCUUUAGAGAAGAAAUGAGAGAACAAGGCUGAUCUGCUGAGACUUGUCAUAGAGAUUCUACUGUAUAUGCUUAGUGAUGGAGUAGGAGGGAGCAGCCUGCAAGUGGUGUACAGGUUUCUGUAUGAAUGGUUAUCAGUUUACAUCAUAUUUUAUUAAAUUCUAUCAUCAUAGGGACCAGCAUUGUGGCAGCCCGGACAAGAAUUUGUAGUCAGAGCCCCCUAAUACACACACUCGUCUGUUUAUUAAGUUUAAGAGAUGCUUUUAAGAGGCCAGAGUAGUGAUGAAACAGGGGAAGCCGCCUGCAACGUGGAAUCACGCAGUGGCACAGGUGCACGUCCUGGCGGCUCCACUUCUGAUCUAGCUCCCUGCUAAUGUGCCUGGGAAAAGUACCAGAAAUCGGUCUAAGUUUUGGGCCCCUGUCACACAUACGUGGGAGACCUGGAAGAAGCCCCUGGCUCUGGUCUGGCCCAGCGCUGGCCAUUGCAGCCAUAUGAACCAGAGGAGUGAACCAGUGGAUGGAAGAUUUCUCUGUCUCUCCUACUAACUCUAACUUUCAAAAGACCACCAUAAACCCACAAAUGCCUUGCAAUGACAAAUACCAAAAUCUGUAUCUAAUUCAAGGGUAGACAGAGAAGGACCAAAUAAAGCAGUGAAGCAGUAAGCUCAUUCAAAACCGGAGGAGACCAAGAGAGAAAAAAUGACCUUCUUAAGAGUCAGAGAGGGCUGGCGCCGCGGCUCACUAGGCUAAUCCUCUGCCUUGCGGUGCCGGCACACUGGGUUCUAGUCCCAGUUGGGGCGCCAGAUUCUGUCCCGGUUGCCCCUCUUCCAGGCCAGCUCUCUGCUGUGGCCCGGGAGUGCAGUGGAGAAUGGCCCAAGUACUUGGGCCCUGAACCCCAUGGGAGACCAGGAGAAGCACCUGGCUCCUGCCAUCGGAUCAGCGCGGUGCGCCGGCCACAGCGCAUCAGCUGCGGCGGCCAUUGAAGGGUGAACCAACGGCAAAGGAAGACCUUUCUCUCUGUCUCUCUCUCACACUGUCCACUCUGCCUGUCAAAAUAAAUAAAUAAAUAAUAAAUAGAGAGAAAAGUGCCCUUGAAAAGUGGUCUCCAACAUACUAAAGAAAAUUCCAGAAAACAGCUGGCAAAAAUACCGGAAAAAGGAUAAGACAGAGGGGAAACAGUGAGACAUGUAACAAACAGAAACAGAAUGUUUUGCUAAGCAAUCAAUGACUUGAAGAAAAAUACUAUACUUCAUUCGGCGACAGCAGAAAGAUCACCUUGAAAAUCCAAUCAGAGGGGCUUGGCACCAUGGCUCACUAAGCUAAUCCUCCGCCUGCAGCGCCGGCAUCCCAUAUGGGUGCCAGUGCGAAUCCCAGCUGCUCCUCUUCUGAUCCAGCUCUCUGCUAUGGCCUGGGAAAGCGGUGGAAGAUGGCGCAAGUGCUUGGGCCCCUGCACCCAUGUGGGAGACCGGGAAGAAGCUCCUGGCUCCUGGAUUCAGAUCAGCUCAAUUCCAGCCAUUGUGGCCAUUUGGGGAAUGAACCAGCAAAUGGAAGACCUUUCUCUCUGUCUCUCCCUCUCAGUGUCUGUAAGUCUACCUCUCAACACAAAAUAAAAUUUUUUAAAAAAUCCAAUCAGAGCCAAAGAAAACUCAAGUAGAUUUCUCAAAACCAUAAGUAAAUGACCAAACAAGCUUAGAGAAAUAAAAGGGAAACAAAAUUGAACACAGGCCAUCUUCUGCUGCUUUUCCCAGCCCAUCAGCAGGGAGCUGGAUCAGAAGUGGAGCAGCCAGGACAGAAACAGGUGCCCAUUAGGGGUGAUGGCGUGGCAGGUGGUGGCUUCACUGGCAAUGCCACGACGACAGACAACAACCAAUCCAGUUGAGAAGUGGGCAAAAGAUCUCAGCAGACACUUCUCAAAAGAAGAAAUACAAAUGUCGAACAAACAUGAAAAAAGCUGUACAUCACUAGCCCUCGGGGAAAUGCAAUCAGACCCCCAGUGAGACAUCGCGUCACCCCUGUCAGUAUGGCUCUUGUCCAAAAGAGAGAAACGAACGCUGGCGAGGACGUGGAGAAAGGGGAACACUCACACACUGCUGGUGGGACAUAGUGCAGCCACUACGGAAACAGCAUGGAGGUUUAAAACAAGAAAGAAACAGACUUGCAGUGUAAUCCUGCAAUCCCACUACUGGGGUUGAACACAAUGUAUCAAAGAGACACCACACCACCAUGCUUACAGCAGUGCUGUUAACAAGAACCAAAAUGUGGAACUGACCAAGGUGUCCAUCUUCAGGUGAACGGAGAAAAUGUGGUGGAAUACACAGUGGAAUGUAAGUUAGCUACAAAAAAGAAUCAAAUUCUACCAUUCGCAAUGCAACAAAUGCAAUUGGAGGAUACCACGCUGGGGAAAUUAAUUUGGACACCAAAAGACAAAAACACACGCUCUCCCUUAUAUGUGGGCACUAAAAUAAGAAAGAAAAAACCGAAAAAGAAAGACAGCCUGUGUAUACUGCUGUGAGGAGUUUUGUGAAUCUUUGUUUUGUAACAUAGUCAAACCAGUGGCACCACUAUGCUCCUAAAUCUGUGUAUGUGAAAUACACGGAAGUUGUUCACCUUAUAUAAAUACAAGAGUUAGUUCACAA